GAACGCUGGCGGCGCGCUUACACAUGCAAGUCGAGCGAGAACCAGUCCUUCGGGACUGGGGAAAGCGGCGAACGGGUGAGUAACACGUGAGUAAUCUGCCCUCGGCACCGGGAUAGCCCGGGGAAACCCGGAUUAAUACUGGAUGGCCUUUCGAGUCUUCGGACUCGUCAGAAAAGGUGGCUUCGGCUUCCAGCUGAGGAGGAGCCCGCGGCGGAUUAGCUUGUUGGCGGGGUAAUGGCCCACCAAGGCGACGAUCCGUAGCUGGUCUGAGAGGACGAUCAGCCACACUGGGACUGAGACGCGGCCCAGACUCCUACGGGAGGCAGCAGUGGGGAAUCUUGCGCAAUGGGCGAAAGCCUGACGCAGCGACGCCGCGUGCGGGAAGAAGGCCUUCGGGUUGUAAACCGCUUUCAGGAGGGACGAAGCCACUCGGGUUAAUACCCCAGAGGGUGACGGUACCUCCAGAAGAAGCCCCGGCUAACUACGUGCCAGCAGCCGCGGUAAUACGUAGGGGGCAAGCGUUGUCCGGAUUUAUUGGGCGUAAAGAGCGUGUAGGCGGCCAGGUAGGUCGGCUGUGAAAACUCGAGGCUCAACCUCGAGAUGUCGGCCGAAACCAUCUGGCUAGAGUCCGGAAGAGGAGAGUGGAAUUCCCGGUGUAGCGGUGAAAUGCGCAGAUAUCGGGAAGAACACCCGUGGCGAAGGCGGCUCUCUGGGACGGUACUGACGCUGAGACGCGAAAGCGUGGGGAGCGAACAGGAUUAGAUACCCUGGUAGUCCACGCCAUAAACGAUGAGGACUAGACGUUGAGAGGGUAAGCCUCCCAGUGUCGCAGCUAACGCGAUAAGUCCUCCGCCUGGGGAGUACGGCCGCAAGGUUGAAACUCAAAGGAAUUGACGGGGACCCGCACAAGCGGUGGAGCAUGUGGUUUAAUUCGAUGCAACGCGAAGAACCUUACCUGGCCUUGACAUCCCAGGAACCCUGAAGAGAUUUGGGGGUGCCGCAAGGAACCUGGAGACAGGUGCUGCAUGGCUGUCGUCAGCUCGUGUCGUGAGAUGUUGGGUUAAGUCCCGCAACGAGCGCAACCCUUGUCCUUAGUUGCCAGCAUUAAGUUGGGCACUCUAAGGAGACCGCCGGUGACAAACCGGAGGAAGGUGGGGAUGACGUCAAGUCAUCAUGGCCUUUGUGGCCAGGACUACACACGUGCUACAAUGGUAGAUACAGAGGGAAGCCAACCGGCGACGGGGAGCCAAUCCCAGAAAAUCUAUCGUAGUCCGGAUCGGAGUCUGCAACUCGACUCCGUGAAGUCGGAAUCGCUAGUAAUCGCAGAUCAGCAUUGCUGCGGUGAUACGUUCCCGGUCGUUGUACUCACCG
rnacentral:rRNA from 1 species